GGACUGGCAAAACCUUUUAACAUGUCGGUGGUCGGCGGGGCGUCCACGAUCAUGGCGGCGCGCGGUGCAGACGACCUCGCGCUUUUCAGAUGUGGACAUUGCAGCCAGGAAUUCCAUGAGCAGGAUGAAGGAGAAAAACACUUGCUGCAGUGUACGGCAGACGCCCAGCCAUUCCAGUGUGGACAUUGCGCUCAGACAUUUGCUAGCCGUGAGGAGGCAGAAGUCCACCUGUUAGCAUGCAACCAGGGAGACCAAGCAGGUACCCAGAGCACAAGGUCAUAGUGGAUCAGUUCAGUGACCUGUGUGACAUGCGUUACUUGACAUGGCAAGUAUCUGGAGGAAGUGAUAGCAGCAGCAGUGGAGAUUAGGGCCGUGGCCACUGUGAGCGGAAGAGGCGCUUCAAGGAGGCCAGCAUUGGCGAAUACCUGAUGGAGAGAAAUGAUUUUGAGAGGCACAGGCUGAUGAUAGAAGAGAGGAGGGUUGCUGCUGAAGAGAAAAUGCUGGAACUACUUGCCCGAUUGGUGGAUGUGGUGGAAACCAACACCAAGAAGUGAAGAGUUUUAGCUGUAUUUUCCGUGGAGAAGUUCAGAUAAGAUUUUGUUUUUAAGACCUGCUGAGGGUAUGCCAUUUAGCCAGGAACCCAGCACCGUGCAAACAUGGUGUUCAUGCAGUGCCUUUUAUCAUUUAAAGCAUCAGCUGGAUGGCUGUGCACUAAGCUUUGCAGGUGUCCAAAGAAAAGUGAAGCCUAUUUAACACAGACAGGAGUGAGUUGUGGUACAAGGUGAUGUGAAUAUGAUGUGUUUCUAAUGCUCAUGCAAUGCCUUAACGCCAGUCAUCAAUGUGUGUGCAUAUAUGUGCCCUCAUAGAACUGCACUAUAACCUGUCUCUGUAUGACUCCCGUUCUCAUUGCAACAUUUCACUUGGAAGCAGUUCCAGUCACUGGAGUAAGGACUUUU